rnacentral:rRNA from 1 species
AACGAACGCUGGCGGCAUGCCUAACACAUGCAAGUCGAACGAGACCUUCGGGUCUAGUGGCGCACGGGUGCGUAACGCGUGGGAACCUGCCCUUAGGUUCGGAAUAACUCCCCGAAAGGGGUGCUAAUACCGGAUAAUUUCUUCGGACCAAAGAUUUAUCGCCUUUGGAUGGGCCCGCGUUGGAUUAGCUAGUUGGUAGGGUAAAAGCCUACCAAGGCUACGAUCCAUAGCUGGUCUGAGAGGAUGAUCAGCCACACUGGGACUGAGAAACGGCACAGACUCCUACGGGAGGGAGGAGAGGGGAAUAUUGGAAAAUGGGCGAAAGCAUGAUCCAGCAAUGCCGCGUGAGUGAUGAAGGCCUUAGGGUAGUAAAGCUCUUUUACACGGGAUGAUAAUGACAGUACCGGGAGAAUAAGCUCCGGCUAACUCCGUG